UACGGAGGGUGCAAACGUUGCUCGGAAUUACUGGGCGUAAAGCGUGCGCAGGCGGUUUCUUAAGUCAGAUGUGAAAGCCCCGGGCUUAACCUGGGAACUGCGUUUGAAACUGGGAGACUUGAGUGUGGCAGAGGGGGGUGGAAUUCCACGUGUAGCAGUGAAAUGCGUAGAUAUGUGGAGGAACACCGAUGGCGAAGGCAGCCCCCUGGGUUAACACUGACGCUCAUGCACGAAAGCGUGGGGAGCAAACAGG
rnacentral:rRNA from 1 species